GUGAGUAAUAAUUGCUUUUGCCUGACAAUGGUCCUUUCUCCUUAUGGAAAGAGUAACCUGAUUUCCCCUGGGGAAACUGCCCAUCCGAGUUUCAGUCCACGUGGGCAGGGCAGACCAGGGUCCUCCCAGCAGCGGGUGGGCACGUGAUGCAGAUGUGGCCAAUCAAGAGAACCACUCCCAACAGCCACAGUGAUUUGUUCAGGGGCGGGUCCAUGCUGGGCCAAUGAGAGGCCUCCUUGGAUGGCAGCUACUCUUAGCUAUUACGAGAGUUUUAAGUUAUCUGGAAUUGCUAAAGUGGUAGAAUCAAAAGCUGAAGCUCUUGGUGGCCAUCUGGUCAUUCUGUGGAAUUAGCUCCCCUGAAAGUGAAGCCAAUACCAUAGGAAAUGGAGAGAGGAACGUAGAAGAUCCGCAGUCAAGCACCCGAAUCCAGCGGUGGUGGGGACACACAGAAGAAUCGGAGCAGACCUAGCCCCGGGGAGCUCACAAUCUUGGAGGGAAGACUGUGAAACGUUCAGCCAGUAAUGUCUUAGAACCACAAUCAGAGGCUCCUUCUCUCUGCGUCACCUAUGUGGACCCUGUGGCCCAUUCAGGCCCUUCAGUAUCCAGGAGUAAGUGAAGUGGAAACGUGGGACUGGGACAGCUUUCUCUUGGGGCCAUCUACCAGACUGAACCCAGGAAGACCCAGCCUCGUGCCUCACCUUCCCACCUCCUCUGCCUACCCCUUUCUAGCUCCUCACCCCACUCACAAGGGGGAUAUAGACCUGAAACUAGAGAAUGGGUCUUGAAGAGCUUUUAUAUACAUGACUUUGGGGUAGAGUUGCCUGACUCACAUGGGAAUGAGCCUCUUCUUCACAGGGUGGGUUCUCCUCUCUCAAAAUGGAGAAUUCUGUAGCCCAGAGAUGCACAAGGUCUGGUCCAGGCUGCCACUGGCAGGCCAGUCUGAUCAGAGGCAUGGUCACUUCCAUGAGUUGGGGUCAGAUUCAGCUCCAGGAGGUGGUGAGAGGUGGAGGAGGUGGGAGGUCCCAAGGUCUUCCAGCAGGCUGGAGGAGAAGGUGGACUGGUCACCUUGAGGCUGGGCCCAGAGCUUGCCUCUCCUUUUCCAUGCUACAUGCCAAUCAUGGCAUGUCAACAGGUGCCUGAGAGGGGAGCUAGUGGCAUCUGUCCACUACAGGCCAGAGUGUAAAAAGAGAUGGGCCAUGGGUGCCCUGAGAUGUAUGGCAGCAGAGUGGGAGUGCUGUUCCCUAGACCUCAGCAGAGUGGGCACACUUCUCAUCUUAGGCCAGGUGCAGGGGAGGAGGUCCUGGUGUUCCUCCAAACCCACACAUGCAUGCACUUACAUGCACACUUACACACACAGACUCUCACAUACUUCCCUUGUGCACACACAUGGAUAUAUACACCCAGGCAUAUACAGUCUGUACACAUGCAAGCACACACCACACUGAACAUCUCUGAAGCCCUGAAGAGCUUCUCACCCCUUCUUGCACAUGAGCCUUCAUGUGGAUGGUCCCCCCUACCAGCAACCCACUUGCUUCCCCCACUUCAACUGCAUAGACGCCUACUGAAGGAUUCUGCUGAACGCCACUUUCCCAGCAAGACAGCAGCACACCUGCCUGCCAGAGACCAUCCCUGCCCCGUGCAGCUCUGCUCCAAGCCCUCACAAUACUCACUGAAAUAACAGCUUUUAAG
ensembl:lncRNA